GACGAACGCUGGCGGCGUGCUUAACACAUGCAAGUCGAACGGAAAGGCCCUGCUUUUGUGGGGUGCUCGAGUGGCGAACGGGUGAGUAACACGUGAGUAACCUGCCCUUGACUUUGGGAUAACUUCAGGAAACUGGGGCUAAUACCGGAUAGGAGCUCCUGCUGCAUGGUGGGGGUUGGAAAGUUUCGGCGGUUGGGGAUGGACUCGCGGCUUAUCAGCUUGUUGGUGGGGUAGUGGCUUACCAAGGCUUUGACGGGUAGCCGGCCUGAGAGGGUGACCGGCCACAUUGGGACUGAGAUACGGCCCAGACUACAACGGGAGGCAGCAGUGGGGAAUAUGGCACAAUGGGCGGAAGCCUGAUGCAGCAACGCCGCGUGCGGGAUGACGGCCUUCGGGUUGUAAACCGCUUUCGCCUGUGACGAAGCGUGAGUGACGGUAAUGGGUAAAGAAGCACCGGCUAACUACGUG
rnacentral:rRNA from 1 species